GACCUGUUAGCUCAGCUGGUUAGAGCGUGGUGCUAAUAACGCCAAGGUCGUGGGUUCGAUUCCCACCUGGGCCA
rnacentral:tRNA from 1 species